UACGUAGGGUGCAAGCGUUAAUCGGAAUUACUGGGCGUAAAGCGUGCGCAGGCGGUUUUGUAAGCCAGAUGGGAAAUCCCCGGGCUUAACCUGGGAAUGGCAUUUGGGACUGCAAGGCUUGAGUGCGGCAGAGGAGACUGGAAUUCCUGGUGUAGCAGUGAAAUGCGUAGAUAUCAGGAGGAAUACCGAUGGCGAAGGCAGCUCGCUGGGACGUUACUGACGCUGAGACGCGAAAGCGUGGGGAGCAAACAGG
rnacentral:rRNA from 1 species